rnacentral:rRNA from 1 species
UACGUAGGGGGCUAGCGUUGUCCGGAUUUAUUGGGCGUAAAGCGUGCGUAGGUGGUUCGUUAAGUCUGAUGUGAAAGCCCUGGGCUCAACCUGGGAAUGGCAUUGGAAACUGGCGAUCUAGAGUGCGGUAGAGGGUAGUGGAAUUCCCGGUGUAGCAGUGAAAUGCGUAGAGAUCGGGAGGAACAUCUGUGGCGAAGGCGACUGCCUGGACCAGCACUGACACUGAGGCACGAAAGCGUGGGGAGCAAACAGG